CUAGUCAUCUGUUUCCCACUUGUAAAUGUGAAGCACACAUCUGGAUUGGAGGAUGGGUUUACUAUCAGAGCAGAUUGAAAAUGAAAAAUCUCCUGUUCUCACACAACGGUGAUGGGUUAAGGAGUAAGUGAGUUUUGGAGAGGAGAGAGACCUAGUCAGCUCAGCAGCGGGAAGUGGGAGAGCCUGCAGUAGCAUUCUGGUGAGAGUAAUAAGCAGUCCACCCUGUCAUCUGGUUGGAGGAUUUUUUUUUUCUUUCAAAAAUCUUAGUUUUUGUCUAAUCCUGAAGGAAUUGGAGGAAAAGGAUAUUUUUUUUUAACAUUGGUGGGUGGGUUGGAAACAGCAGGCUUUGAAAAUAGGGUGUAAGAGAGCAAUGAGAAGAAUCUUGGAGGAUCAUUUGGUUAGAAGGUCCACUAAAAACUGAGAUCAAAGUUUUGUAGUUCAGUUAUAUACUGGAG
rnacentral:lncRNA from 1 species